rnacentral:rRNA from 1 species
AGUAAAAGUCGUAACAAGGUUUCCGUAGGUGAACCUGCGGAAGGAUCAUUACAUUACAGUAGCCUAGCUACUUGUUUAUACCCUUGUUUUUUUGCGCACCUAAUUGUAUCCUCGGUGGGCUUGCUCGCCGGUUGGACAACAACUAUAACCUUUUGAAUCUUCAAUCAGCGUCUGAAAUAAUUUUAAAUAAUUACAACUUUCAACAACGGAUCUCUUGGUUCUGGCAUCGAUGAAGAACGCAGCGAAAUGCGAUAAGUAGUGUGAAUUGCAGAAUUCAGUGAAUCAUCGAAUCUUUGAACGCACAUUGCGCCCCUUGGUAUUCCAUGGGGCAUGCCUGUUCGAGCGUCAUUUGUACCCUCAAGCUUUGCUUGGUGUUGGGCGUGUUGUCUGUCCCUUUUAUGGACAGACUCGCCUUAAAGUAAUUGGCAGCCAGUGUUUUUGGCAGUAAGCGCAGCACAUUUUGCGUCUUAGUCCCUAAACAGUGGCAUCCAGAAAGCCUCUUUCUCACUUUUGACCUCGGAUCAGGUAGGGAUACCCGCUGAACUUAAGCAUAUCAAUAAGCGGAGGAAAAGAAACCAACAGGGAUUGCCUUAGUAACG